AUUGAACGCUGGCGGCAGGCCUAACACAUGCAAGUCGAACGAGUGGCCGACGGGUGAGUAAUGUCUGGGAAACUGCCCGAUGGAGGGGGAUAACUACUGGAAACGGUAGCUAAUACCGCAUACCAUCGGAUGUGCCCAGAUGGGAUUAGCUAGUAGGUGGGGUAAAGGCUCACCAGGGCGACGAUCCCUGGCUGUUCUGAGAGGAUGACCAGACAGACUGGAAAUGAGACACGGUCCAGAAUCCUACGGGAGGCAGCAGUGGGGAAUAUUGCACAAUGGGGACAAGCCUGAUGCAGCCAUGCCGCGUGUAUGAAGAAGGCCUUCGGGUUGUAAAGUACUUUCAGCGGGGAGGCGUUACCCGCAGAAGAAGCACCGGCUAACUCCGUGCCAGCAGCCGCGGUAAUAC
rnacentral:rRNA from 1 species